GGGAUAAUAGUAUAGUGGUCAGUACUUCUCGUUGUGGCUUUGAACACAAUUUCCGAGAGGACCCAGGUUCGAUUCCUGGUUAUCCCA